GACGAACGCUGGCGGCGUGCCUAAUACAUGCAAGUAGAACGCUGAAGAGAGGAGCUUGCUCUUCUUGGAUGAGUUGCGAACGGGUGAGUAACGCGUAGGUAACCUGCCUUGUAGCGGGGGAUAACUAUUGGAAACGAUAGCUAAUACCGCAUAACAAUGGAUGACACAUGUCAUUUAUUUGAAAGGGGCAAUUGCUCCACUACAAGAUGGACCUGCGUUGUAUUAGCUAGUAGGCGAGGUAAUGGCUCACCUAGGCGACGAUACAUAGCCGACCUGAGAGGGUGAUCGGCCACACUGGGACUGAGACACGGCCCAGACUCCUACGGGAGGCAGCAGUAGGGAAUCUUCGGCAAUGGGGGCAACCCUGACCGAGCAACGCCGCGUGAGUGAAGAAGGUUUUCGGAUCGUAAAGCUCUGUUGUAAGUCAAGAACGGGUGUGAGAGUGGAAAGUUCACACUGUGACGGUAGCUUACCAGAAAGGGACGGCUAACUACGUG
rnacentral:rRNA from 1 species